rnacentral:misc_RNA from 1 species
UCCGGUUUGGCACCGGCAGUCUCCCUAGAGUUCCCGGCUUUACCCGCUGGCAACUAAGGACAGGGGUUGCGCUCGUUGCGCCACUUAAGGCAACAUCUCACGACACGAGCUGACGACAGCCAUGCACCACCUGUGAUGGUGUCCCGAAGGAAAACCGUGUUUCCACGGCGGUCACCAACAUGUCAAGCCCAGGUAAGGUUCUUCGCGUUGCAUCGAAUUAAACCACAUGCUCCACCGCUUGUGCGGGUCCCCGUCAGUUCCUUUGAGUUUCAACCUUGCGGCCGUACUCCCCAGGCGGAGAACUUAACGCGUUAGCUAUGACACCGAGAGGCAGACCCUCCCGACAUCCAGUUCUCAUCGUUUAUGGCGUGGACUAC